GACGAACGCUGACGGUGUGCUUUAGACAUGCAAGUCGAGCGAGAAAGCCCUUCGGGGUUAGUAAAGCGGCGAACGGGUGAGUAACACGUGGGCAAUCUGCCCCUCGCAGGGGGACAACCGGGGGAAACUCCGGCUAAUACCCCGUAAGUUUCCAGAGUCGCAUGGCUUUGGAAAGAAAGGUAGCUUCGGCCAUCCGGCGAGGGAUGAGCCCGCGGUACAUUAGCUAGUUGGCGGGGUAACGGCCUACCAAGGCGGCGANGUAUAGCUGGUCUGAGAGGAUGAUCAGCCACACUGGGACUGAGACACGGCCCAGACUCCUACGGGAGGCAGCAGUCGGGAAUCUUGCACAAUGGGCGAAAGCCUGAUGCAGCAACACCGUGUGAGCGAUGAAGGCCCUAGGGU
rnacentral:rRNA from 1 species